GCUUAGCCCUGAUGGCAGAGGAAAUCCUUUUUGUAGCGCAGCGGAAAAAAGAUUGCAGCGUACAGCAGGAAAAUGC
rnacentral:sRNA from 1 species